GAAGUAAAAGUCGUAACAAGGUUUCCGUAGGUGAACCUGCGGAAGGAUCAUUACCGAGAGGGGCCUUUGAGUCCCGGGGGGCCACGUCCCCCGUCUCUCCACCCGUGAACAUCUACUUUUCCGUUGCUUUGACGGGUCUUUUGGGGUUACAUCCCAUGGCCGGCCCGCCGGAAAGCGCCCGUCAAUCGCCCCCCCAAAUCCGAUUUUCUUGAGACGUCCGAGCAAGAUCAAACCAGAACAAAACUUUCAACAACGGAUCUCUUGGUUCCGGCAUCGAUGAAGAACGCAGCGAAAUGCGAUAAAUAAUGUGAAUUGCAGAAUUCAGUGAAUCAUCGAAUCUUUGAACGCACAUUGCGCCCCUUGGUACCCCGGGGGGCAUGCCUGUUCGAGCGUCAUUGCACCCCUCAAGCGUAGCUUGGUCUUGGGUUUCCGCCCCUGGGCGGACCUUAAAAGCAGACACGGUCCGGAGUGAUUUCCAAGCGAAGUAACAAUAUUAUCCGCUUGGAAAUCUCGCCGGUGUUGAAACACCCAUCUUGAUGAUUGACCUCGGAUCAGGUAGGGAUACCCGCUGAACUUAAGCAUAUCAAUAAGCGGAGGA
rnacentral:rRNA from 1 species